UUCUUCUUCUCUGAAGAACACGCGAGCCAAACCCCAAAUUAGUCCCUUCUUUGGUUCCUGGUUCUGUUUCAGAAAAUAUAUAUAAAAAAAGUUUUCAUUAUCUUCUCUGAUUUCCCUCAAAGAAUGGAGAUGGGUUGAGCUGAGAUUGAGCUGGCUGCUCGAGUUCAAGUUCGUAGUUUUUACAUCCCGAUGCACUGUAACACUGGUGUUCUUGAGCUUUCAUCAUCGAAUUCACUUUUAUUGGAUUCAAAGAAGAAUUAAUCUAAGUUCGUUCUCAACUCAGGUUCAUUUCUUCUCCAACUCUUUAUUAAUUUGUGAUUCAGUGUUUGUGCGUGUUCAUAUCUCGGCAUGGUUGGUGUGAACCCUGAAAGCUAAUGUCUGUUCUCUUACUCUAUUUCUGAGCCUUGUUUGGCUUUGGUUCAGAUUUGUUAAGAUGUUUUGGUUUGUCAUUAAAGUGCACUGCGAUGGUCGAUCCCCUGCCCUUGAUUUGCUAGUCCAUCUCUUGCAAAUUCGUUGUUAGUUGAUAGGCUCUUUCUUUACCUCGCAAGGUUUUCGAAUUAUGUAGAAAUUAGUUUUUCUGGUCCUUUGAACUAAAUAAGGUCUCUGCUAAGGCUCCAUGAGUUUGGAACUCAUUAAUCCACUGCUUGAAUUGUUUGAGUUACGUCCUGAUUUUUCUUAAUCUCAUUUUGGCCCAUCUUAGUUGAUUCAUUGUUUAAUGAAGUAAGUUGCCAACCUUUCAUGUUACGUUUUCAUUUAAACACGGAAGCUGUUGUUUUGCAAUUGAGUAGCUGAAUCCGCUCGAAGUGUCUUUACUGAUUCUCUCUGGUUCUCAAACAGAAAUGUGCCUAAGUAUUAGGAUAGUCGUGACCAUGCCCGCGCCAAGUCAGAUUUUGUGCACGCUAUUUUGAUAUUUAUGAAUUGGAUUUACAAUUGACCUUAGAUGUUUGUGUUCCUUGCUGAGUUUAUCUCUAUGUGCUGCAUUUCAUAAGCUUGAUUGGAGAAAGAAGUAGAUUAAGACAUUGUCUUAUUACAUUUCCUUUAGAAAACUGCGUUAAUUAAAUUGUGUCCAUACGAACAGCGAGUGUUAUGAAGCUUGGAGCUGAAAUAUGUAUAUUUGAGUUGCUUGACUGAAAUUCUGAUUUCUUUGGAGUUAUAAAGUACUGUAGCACAAGAGGUAUUGUACAAAUUCGUGUUGUGAUCUAUUUUGAACUUGUUAAUCAUGAUACCGGAGAGAGCAGUAUUCUUGCACUAGAUUCUGAGCGUCUGUCCAUUUGGUGAAGCUUAAGUUGAUUAAUUUCUUUGUUUGAAAGUACCUGAUGUUUCGUGCUUCAUUUCUUUGAUUGAUUGAGCGAUGCGAUUCAUUUUGAUGAGUUCAAAAGAAUUAGCUCACUGCUUUUAGUCAUAUGAACUCGCUCUAUCGGCCUAACCAAAUGUAAACAUGAAGGAGUGAACAUUAACCAAUUGAUCCUUUGUGCCGGAGUUGUUAAUUCUAUUAGAUCUGAAAGUUUAAGCUUCUGAUUGUGUUCCUGUUGUUUGUGAACUUCAAAACGUCCCGAGCAUUUGAAUUGUAAAAUCAGUUGGAGUUGUGGUUUAAACUCGCGCGAGGUUCCACCUGGGCCUAGUUUGUUGCGUGGUUUUCUGGCUGUAAAUCUCAUUAUCUCAAAUGUCCGUCUCUUUUUCUGAUUAGCAUCGGUGCUUUUGUUGUAAUGCUUCACAGUAUACGUUGUUUGCAUGUCUGUUAUAUUUAUUGAAUGCGUCUGUGUUAAUGUUUCAAGAGGAUUUUGCUCGUUUCAGUGUCCUUUUCAUUUGAAGCUUCAUUUGAAUCAUAACAUGGUGGCAUAAUAUCCCGUUCUUAUCAUUUGGAUUAAGGCGUACUUGUUAAGGUCUUGUGAUAUAUAUUAAUUAGAAAGGAAAACUGUUUCUUUUAGUUCUUCUAUGGUAAAGUUAAAAAGUGUUUGAAUAUUGAAUGAAGUUUGCAUCAUUUUAUCUCUUUCAAUUAAUGCCAAAUUAUUAAAUUAGAAUGAAAAUUAUCAUGGGUACGGGUAUGGUUCUCGUGACGUAGCCGUGAUACUUAAUCCCUAAUUAGUGAAAUAUGAAUAUUCGUAGCUCAUUUAGUUGAAUGCUUUUCCUUUAGAGUUCGAUGUGUGCCAUUUAGCAAAUUCUAUGGCCCUCGCAAAGUACAAAUGCGUUCGAUUUAAUUAAAUUACUUUCUUAAACUAGGGUGCAUUGAUGCGACCACAAUCCAAAUCUCGAUGAAGUCGAAAUGUGUCGAUGACUACGGGUGCCUUGAUGGCGACGUGGUCGAACACGUGUUUUCACGACGUCGCAAGUCCUUUAAAAUAAAUAAUGGUAAAAGCAGUUUUGUAAAUAAAAGGCACAUAAGCUAGUAUGUAUUAAAAUCGGAUAAAAUCAAAUACAAUAGUUGAGCGACCGUCCUAGAACCACGGAACCCGGGAAUGCCUAACACCUUCUCCCGGGUUAACAGAAUUCCUUAUCCGGACUUCUGGUUCGCAGACUGUAACACAGUCAUAUCUUUCCUCGGUUCGGGAUUCAACCGGUGACUUGGGACACCAUUAAUCUCCCAAGUGGCGACUCUGAAUAAUUAAUAAAUUAAAUGUUGUUCAGAUUGUCCUUUAAGUGGAAAAACUCCUUUACGCCCCUUUGCGGAGGUGUAUAGCGAAAAAGGAGGUGUGACAAUCAUGAUAUCACAAUCAUUUACUAGCUAAGAAAAUCACCAUCAUCCUCUCCUUUAUAUUCCUACAUUUUGCAUAAGGCUAUUCUCUGCCUUUCGAGGUUAAGCUCUACCUCCAUUCUGCAUAAGGCUAUCUUUUGCAUUUCGGGACUAAGCUAUGUCUCCAUCUUGCAUCUUGCAUAAGGCUAUUAUCUGCCUUCCGAGGUUAAGAUCUACCUCCAUCCUGCAUAAGGAUAUCUUCUACCCUUCGAGACUAAGCUCUGUCUCCAUCUCGCAUUUUGCAUAAGGCUAUUCUCUCCCUUCUGAGGUUAAGCUCUACCUCUAUUUUGCAUAAGGCUAUCUUCUGCCUUUCAAGACUAAGCUAUGUCUCCAUCUCGCAUUUUGCAUAAGGAUGUUAUCUAGCUUCCGAGGUUAAGCUCUACCUCCAUCCUGCAUAAGCCUAUUUUCUGCCUUCCGAGGUUAAGCUCUACCUCCAUCCUGCAUAAGGCUAACUUCUGCCUUCCGAGACUAAGCUCUGUCUCCAUCCUGCAUUGCAUAAGGCUAUUCUCUGUCUUCAAGGUUAAGCCCUACCUCCUUUAUUUUGCAUUUGGCUGAAAUAUCGCCACCCUAUUUCAUUCGACUGAAAUAUCGCCGCCUUGCAUUUUAAAUUCCUGCUCCACUGAAAUAUCGCCACCCCUUGGAUUCAUUCGGCUGAAAUAUUGCCACCUUCGCAUGGGCUGAAAUAUCGCCACCUUAUUCAAAGGCGUCAUAGUUUGGAGGCACCAUUCGCAUAGCCCGAGAACACCAUUUCAUGGCCUGCGAAUCUUUACUUUAUGCUCUUCAUAGCCCAGUACGUCAUAGUCUGAUGACGCCAUCCUAAUCGUCCAAAGACAGCAUUCAUUGUCCAAUGGGAACUUGUAUCAUAUUUAAAUUAUGCAAUAUAUACGCACAUCGUUCAUUUGCAGGUACACCGGCUGGCACGACCACCUCAGCAGGAGCGGUCCCGCUCCAGUUCUCCGUAGCCCGUCCGAUAUUUGAACCCUUGACAAGUCUCAAACCCCGUUGCGUUUGCCUCUUCAAAAUUUUCAUUGGCAUAUCCCGCCAAUGGUUCCUGAACUACAUACAGCCCGAUUCCUGUAGAACCGAGGAUAUGUAGGCAGCUCAGAAGCCAGAGCACUGUCAAAAUUCUCUUACAAAUGUCAUUUCCGGUCAAAAUUGGCCAUCCUGUCUUUACCUGACAACUCUUUCAUCCUCCUCGGGUAAAGAGGGGCAGUUGUUGAUACCCAAUUUUUCCCAUGUAAUUCUAUGCUCAAAAUAUUUCCAAAAUAGCAUAUAGAUGCAUACAUAAGCAUCCACAAAAAGUUUGGUAUUUUUCUACAUUUUUUCAAGUACUUUUAAUGCCAAUUUACGAUUUAUUUUGUUCUAUAUAAUCCAAUAUUUAGUCUCAAAUCUUGCUAUUUUCAUAAGUAAUCUAUUUUAUUCUCAUAUUACAUAAAAAUAUAAUUUUUACAGAAUUUUACAAAGCCAUUAGGUAUUUUUAAAUUAAAACUGCAGUAAAUUGCAAUUUUAGCCUAUUUCUCAAUUUAAUAAGUAUUUCAAGUACAAAAUUCGUUCCUAAUUUUUUUAAUUAACUCCUAGACAUAUUUUAUUAACUCAGUACUUUCACUGGAUUUUUAUAGGAUUGUUUACUAUUUUUAUAAAAUUAAAAUUGGGAAAGAUGGCUAUUUAAAUUGUAGCCCUUAAUCUUUCAAUUUUAGCCCAAAUUGGAACCCAAAUCAAUCCCAUUUAAAACCCCAAUUGCCUGAUCCAAAUUCCAAAAUCACCCGACCCAAACCCACCUAAAUCUAACCCGCCUGCUCCCUUUUCUAAUCUUGGCCGUUGAUCUCACAGAUCAACGGCCCACAAUCCACUUACCAAAAAUUAAAUCCCAAAUAACCCCCAAGCCCUAAUCAGUCUUCCAAACCCGCCGCCUUUGAAUCCCUAAAGCUCUCAAAGCCCUCUCAAACCCUAAAUCAUCUCCGGCUAUCUAACCGGCGUCCAUGGUCGUCCAAGACUUGAAACUUCUUUAUUCGUUCACUCCUCACCUCUCCGGGCCAUGGGUUCGAAGAUCGGAAGCCCACUUCGAAGCUAAUCAGACCAGAGGUCCUCUAAUGAGGUUUCGCAGCCGUAUCUGGCCUUUUCUCCGGCAAGCCUUAAAGCCCUGGGCCCUUUGCUGACUCUGACGAGUCCAUUCCAGGCUUUUCUCACUACUUCGAAACUUUUCUAUGCAAACUCCAAUGUUCGAGGUUCAUCUCUGUGUUCAUCUUUAAGAUUCUCUCUAAAAUCCUAGUGAUUUUCUAAAGAUUUACAAAAUAUUUCUCAUCUCUUCUUCGCCUAUUCAUUUUUUCAAACUGAUCGUCUUUUAAAACCUAGGGUUUCUAUGACUUUCCAUGAUUUCUCUGAUUUUAUUACUUUAUUUGCUGUUGUGUGUUCUACUCUAUGUCUUUGCUAUGAUUUUAAAGCAUUUUUCUACCAAUUACUUUAUUUGCUGAUGUGUGUUCUUCUCUAUGUCGUUGAUAUGAUUUUUAAGCAUUUUUCUACCAUGACUCUAUGGUGUUUUGCUUUACUGUUUACUUUCUAGGGUUUUCAGUUCAUGUAUUCUACGCUUCCUUUAUGUUGUUCUGCUUUUAUUCAUCUUCAUCUGUUAUAUUCCUUAUGCUCUGAUUUGCAAUGGAAACCCUAGUUUUCAGAGGGUUUUUCCAUUGUCUCUCUGUGAAACCUUAGCCGCCUCUAGUUGCUUCCUCGUAUUUUUUGCUACAUGUUAUUCUAAUUGCUUCUAGUUUAUGCAUGUUCAAACCUGUGCAUAUUUUAUAGUACCACUUUCCCCCUUCUCUGAAACCCUAAUUGAUUUCGUACAAUUUGUUUGAUUCUCUAAUUAAGGCUUGUUCUCUGACUAAGUUCAAUACAUCGGUAUCAUGAUUCCUUGAUUUCCUGGGUGAUUACUUGCCUUAUGUCUUUUACCCGUGUGAUUUUCAAAUUCUUCUUAUGAAUUUGCCCUAUAUUCUUUGACUAGUACUCGAUUUCCUUUCCAAAAUUAGACCUGAGCUUAGUUAUUUCUACUCGGUUCCUACCCUAUAUUCGGUGACUAGUACUCGAUUUCCUUUGCAAAGUUAGACCUAUGCUUAGAUACUUCUAGCAGGUUCAUUAAUUAAAGGGAGCCUUCUCCCUGAUUGUUUAGGAUUGGUACUGCUGAAUAUUUUCUUGCCUUAAAGGUUGCAUUCUUUCAAACUAUAAAUAGGCCAAAUCUAUUUGUGUAUUUUAAUUUAAGUUAGCAUGUUUAAUCCCCUUCCCCUUUUCCUUUGUCUGUUCAGUUUAAGCUUUAACAUGUUGAAUCCCUUUCCCCAUUUCCCUUGUCUGUGUGUUUGUCUGUUCAGUUUAAGCUUUAACAUGUUUAAUCCCUUUCCCCAUUUCCUUGUCUGUGUGUAGUUCAGUUGCAACAUAUUUAGUUCUCCAUUUUUCCUUGUCUGUUUUUGUUUUAGUUUUUAGUUCAGCAUGCUCAGUCCUUUCUCUUGGCUGUUUAUUGUUCAUUAUAUAGUUUAAGUUCUUAUACACCACCUUUCCCCUGAAUCCCUUUUAAUUUAGUCUUAUAUACUUAUGUGACUCUUUUUUCCCUGAUCCUUGUUUGAAUGAGAGUGUGUUCUAUAUUAGGGUGGCAUCAUUGUCACUCCUAGUUUAGAACUAAGGUUGUCAACAACCUAUACUCAAACUAAUCACAUCCCCUACCCCCUUAUUAUGUGUUUGAGCCUUGACAAAGGUUUGUUGGUGUCCUAAUCACCAUUCAGGCCCUAGUAUGACUUGUUUACAAGUCUGCUCCUGUUUGUUAACCUUUAUAAGUGGUUAGGGGUGUGCCAGCCUCACUCCAUAGGCUAGGUAUGACCGCCUCCUACAAUGGUCUUCCUCUAAUCUAUCACCUUUACACUUAUUCUUAGUGCUUUAAGUCCUACUUCCCCCUUAGUAAGCCAUGCUUAGGGGACCCCAGAGUCUCCUCUAAACUUGAAUGCUUUUGGGCUAGUAAUUCCACGCUUGCACUACUCUAAAGAGAAAGCCUCGGAUUUGGGAGCCUGGAUUUGGUAAAGGGCGUACGUUGGACAUUAAAGUUGCUUUGCGCUUCUUCGGGCCUGUUGUAGUAUUGAUGUAUUAUUUAUUUCCUUUAAUGUUAUUUUUUUGGUCCAGAUUCUUGUAAAUAACUUGUAAUUAAAGAACUUGGGGAUCUAGUGAAAGAGAAUAUGAGAGGGUUUACCUUUAUUGCGUUAUCUCAUAUAGUUACCAUGGCUAUAGGGCUUUACUUUUUUGCAUCAUCUCAUGUAGAUAUCAUGCUUAUAGGGUUUUACUUCUUGCAUCAAUAUCAUAUAGUUACCAUGUCUAUAAGGGUUUACAUGUAGAUACCAUGCUUAUAGGGUUUUACUUCUUGCAUCAAUAUCAUAUAGUUAUCGUGUCUAUAAGGGUUUACUUUCUUGCAUCUCAUAUGGAUGUCAUGUCUAUUGGCUUUUCGUUAUUGCAUCAACUUCAUAAUCGAAAUCAUGUCUAUAGGUCUGCAUUCUUACAGCCGCAUAGAGAAACCAUGCUUAUAGGUUUGCAUUCUCAUAAUCUCACCUAGAAAAUAUGCCUAUAAGAACCAUAUAAACGCUAGGCAAAACAGUAGGUCGUCCAAACUUGUAAAAAAGCAGUAACGAACAAAGAUCAAUGUGUAUGUACAGUGCUUAAAAACGUUUCAGUCUGUUUACUUUUAAAUUUGGCCCAUGUCUUCCCCUUUCACAUUACUCUGAACUUGUAAUGUCCUUUAAAAUGUUAAAAUGAUGGUUUCAAACAUUCUACCUGCCUAAGUUUAAUGCUUUAAGGUCUUUUAAAUUUUUUCCUCUUGCAUCCUUUGUAUUCAACUGUCCGGCUAAACUGUAAGUCAUUCCUAUACCUUGCUGCAACUUUAACUCUUUUUUCAACAGUCCUAUGUCUGAAACUAAUGUUCUCCUCUAAUAUUAAUCGAUUUUCGAAAACUAAAAUUGUAAGCCAUUUCUAAACCUUUCUGCAACUUCAACUCUCUUUUCGACAGACCUAUGUCUGAAACUAAUGUUCUCCUCUAAGAUUAGUUGAUUUUCAAAAACUGUCAGUUUCUAAAAUGGGCCCGGAGGACGCAAAGUAGAUUUUCUAUCUUUUUUCUAUGUGUCAAACUAGUCUGCCUGCUCUUUAACCCCUUUUAAAGACCAAAUCAGUACUUGAAGUCAUGCUAAACUAGUUGCUUGUAAUGUUACGGGGUUUAUUUGAGCCUUUAAUUAUCUUAUCUGCAUACCUCUUAUGUGCUAUGUGUUUUGACUGUCGUCUUAGUAUUUUUUUACCUUUGAAACUCCAUAUAUGCCCUAUCUCUCUCACCCCCUUCUCAGGAUUAGAAGUCCUAAUACCCCAGGACUAACAUGUUGGGACGGGUAUUAGCAUGCAAUAAGUAAACGAUACCAACACGUUUAAAUACCUCAACGGGGUGGUAAGGGUAGAAUAUGGAGACGAUGACGAUGCGAUAAUAUCAUAAAGCGGCCCCUCUUUGGGAAUAUGUGCGGAUAUUGUAUCGAAUGAUCCAUAUUGUAGUUAAACCUAGGACCCUUCUCUCUUUUGCUUGCUUUAUUCAAAUGUUCCUAUAGUAAUGCUUUUCCAAGUCAAAUCCUCUCUUUUAUUUUAAACUAUGUCCUUCCCUUCUUCUUUAAAGCUUUCAAGUUGCGGGAAUGCUAUAUAUGUUAACCUUAUGUGUUUAAUUGCUUCAUAUCUUUAUAAAGUCACAAUUGACAAGGCCAAGAACUACACUAGUGGAUCUUGAGGGGUGCCUAACACCUUUCCCUCGAGAUAAUCUCAAGCCCUUUACCCGGACUCUGGUUUUCUUUUCAAAAAAUACUCCCUUAUUAAGUGUCCUAAUGCACUAUAAUCAUUAGGUGGCGGCUCUUCGAAUUCUAUAACCCAAUUCCUAAACAUGUAUGAGAGUUGUUUUUGUCCAUAAUAUCGUAAAACCAGAUUUCGCUCUUGCAAAAAGGGGGCAUCGACACCUUCAAUAAAAUUUCUGUUAGAAAAAUACUAAGAUUACUACUUUCAACAUCAAUAUUAAUUUAAUGUAUUCCUUCAGCAAGGAGAUCGUGAAUAAUCACUUGCAAUUCUUCGGCUUGCGUAAUAACAGACUUGCUAUCUACCAUUUUGUAGUACAAAACUUUGCAACAAUGAACCUCUUCAACCCGGCAUCUUUGGUUAUGUAUUUCUUUUCUAGUGCAGUCCACGGUUCUUUUGACGUUUUCACGCCACUAUAGACGUUAUACAAAUUAUCCUCCAGCCUGCUUAGAAUAUAAUUCUUACACAAAAAUUUGAAUGCUUCCAUGCCUCAGUCACGAGAAAGCGUUCAUUUUCUGGAGCUUUAUCAGACAACGCAAGAACAUCUUCCUUGAUGAACUUCUGGAGACUUAGAGUAGUCAAAUAAAAGAACAUCUUUUGCUCCCAACGGAUGAAAUCAAUCCCGGAAACUUUUUUUGGAUUUCUUCGCUGGUGCCAAUGUUACCAGUGUUCAGCUCGUUGAAGCAAUGGCAGUCACCAUCGGAGCAGCUUGGUUUCCAUUAUCAUUAGUCAUUUAUGUAUAAGAAUUACACCAAUAUUAAAAUCACAUAGAUUUUAAUAGAGUACAAAACCACAAAUGUUUUACUCUCCAGAAAUAAUGAGUACAAAUACAAAAAAAUAUUUAAAUUCCUUAAGCUUGUUCGUAUACUGUAUUUGUAAAACAAUUAUGAAAAUAUAAAUGAAUAUAAUAGAAAUGAACAUAAACAGAAAUGAUAGAAAAUCAAUUCGAGCCUACUUAAUUCACAGUAUUUUCUUAAGGAGUUUAAUCCCUUCCUAAUACCCAAGGCUAUGGAUUAUUUCCUUCCAGGAUAGAACGAAUUACACACUGGUGUAGUGGUACUUCAAACCCCAGUGUUUCAAGAAACACAAAGUUCGAUAGCAAAUCAAACUUGCUUUUUGCUUUGUUCGAUGCUAAAAGUAUGCAGAAGAAAGAGAAGAAACUCAGAAAAACAUAGUGAAAUUCUGAGGAGAAUAGCGUUGUAUUUAUGGCCAAAGUUGGGCUGAAAUUUGAAGAGGUGCAACUCUUCAAAAUGGUUGUUUCUGCAAAACGGCCACAGCAUAAAUGUCAUUACAUAAAUGGUUAUUUAGUCAACAACAAAGAGGGAAAAUAAAGAGUGAAAUUUGAUGGGUAGUUAAUUUUCUGUUACAAAAAUAGAAAACUAAAAUUUGGAUAACAUAAAUGAAUUUAAUAUUAAUAUUCUAUUAUAUAAUAAAUAUUUAAUAAUAUUUCUAUCAAUAUUUUACUAUUAACAAAUAAAUUUGGUCCUAAAAUUUAAUCAAUCAAUCGUUUGGCCAAAUCCUGAGCCGGAAUCGAGCUGCGAUGACGACGACGACGCGAGGCUUGCCUUCUUCUCAACUCUUUAAGAGUUAGAAGAGCAAUUGCUUAUAUACCCAUAAAAAACCUCUUCCUCUUUAAUAUGGGACGAUGUCCGUUAACCAAGGGGGACUUAAAAUUUCACUCAAAAAUUUCAUUUCCCUCCAUUUUUCAUUCACCCUCUUUUAAGUAUUUAAAGCCCUUACCCUAUUUAGCUUUUGUUGUACAUAACUUGAAAGAAACGUUUUAGCCUUUAGCCCACUAUUAAAGAUAUACUUUUAGGAUUUUUAUUAUUUUCUUCUUUCUUCAUUCCCUUCUCUCUCUCACCGCCUCUCACUUCUUUCUUUCUAACCCACAUAGAUCCCUCAUCCUCUCUUAGCCUAGCCCCCGCUAUUCCCUUCCUCUACCCCCCACGCAGUUCUGCAAUUAAUGGCUCGAAGAAGGGUCGGGCUCCUACUCCGUCGUCCAUGGUGGCAAGCAGAAGAAUAUUGAAGAUUUUUGAAAGAUACAUGAAAAUACACACAGAUCUAAAAAUAAAUAGCUCUCAAAUUUGAUUUGCACCAAAAAAUAACCACUAAUGUUGCAGCAAAACUAGUUCUUUCAAUCUAAUUCCGCAGCAAUGUCAUGAUAUUGGCAAUUCAAGCGCGCAAGCAGCCAUGUUCCUUCGGGAAUUUGGAGCUGCAAUUGAUCCCAUACACGUCCUUUCUAGUUGGAACAUCCUCCAACGCCAAACUAUGUAGCAGUUUGUAUUAACAUUGUAUACUAGUGUAUAAUUUUGUAUAUAGAUAUACAAACACCUCUUAUAUAGUAUUAUACAUAUUUAUACAAAGUUACAAUAUUGUAUAUUUGUGAAUAAAUGUGUAUAUUUUUGUAUAAUAUUGUAUAAUUAUAUAUUUUUCAGUUUAUAAUGAUGUAUAUACAUUGUUAGUGUGUAAGAGGCCUCUACGGAAAUUUGACAAUUCCUUUUCUUCUUAUUUUUUGUGUAAUGUGAUGUAUGAGCGUUGGAGGGAUUCUACAAUUUAUUUACGAUGUUUUUAUUUUUCUUUUAUCAUGUUGGAUUGCUUCAGCAAUUGCACAUAAAAGUGUUUGAAUUUCUUACCUUAAGAUAAUAUGUAUUAUUCAAGAUAGGAUUUUUUAGUUGCGUUGAGGCUUAUUUGUAUUUUUUUAUCAAAUGCUUAAUAAUCAAAGAAAAUCAUUAGAAUGAUAUCAGUUAGGAUUUUUGAGUUGUGUUGUAGCUGCUUUGUAUUUAUUUAUAAAAUGCUUAAUAAUCAAAGAAAAUUAACAAAAUGAAAACAACUGGUUGUAUAUAGAGGGACAAAAAUAAGUUGUCUUUCUGGAAUUAGCCUAUUAUUUUUUAGGCUAUAGAUUUGCAAAGUGGUAUCUAGGCUAUUAUAUUUCAAAUCAGGUGUGUGAGUUGUAUUUAUGUGAAAUUAUCACUAUAUUAAUUAAAUACAUCCUAAACCCAACAACUAUGUGCUGAAACAUGACAUAUAUGAUUUAUUAAUUCACAAGGACCAUAUAUUCACUUGCAAUGAAUUUGUGUACACUGUCGAAAAUAAAUACCCUAUACUAUUAGAUAUAGGAGUCCGGAACCAAAAUGUGGUUCAUUUGGAAUCAAACUACACAAAUAGGUAUUCAAAAAAGAUACCAUGCUAUAUAUAACGCCAUAAUACCUGGCGCUAUAUAUUAACAGUAACUGCACUGUCAAUAUAUAGCGCCAGGUUUUAUGGCGUUAUAUCAGAAAAAGCUGACACAACUGAUAUAGCUCCAUAAAACUUGGCGCUAUAUCCUUUUUUUUCAUGGCCCCACCAAUAAUAGCAGACUUUAAUAAUUCAAAAGCGUACAGUGCCAAAUUAUUUGGUGCUAUAUAUGUAAAAAAAAUCUUCACGGCUAUCCAUUUCCUAUAUAAAGAGGUUAGAAUCGCAUAGAAAUGCAUUCAAAAAAUUUUUUAACUCUUAUUGAAAUGUCUAUUGUUGUUAAAUUCUCCAACAUUUUUUUAUUAUGUCUGAAGAGCGUAGGAUAAGAGUUUCAUUAUAUUGGGGUGGUGAGGUUAUAAUGGAGAAUAACUCUGUGGGCUACAGUUUACCUGCUAAGUGUCAUGUUAAAUUGCCACUUGCAAUGGAGUACGAUACAUUGAUAUCGUUGUUAUGCAAAAAAUGAGUGUGAGAAAUUGUUCAAUGAUACUUAAAGUAACCGAAAGAUAUCCGUAUUCCAUUACUCCGCAAGGGAUUUCUUUUUACUCUGAGUUUAACAUCGACGAUGAUGAAACUUUGAGUGACUUGAGGACUUCGGACGAAUGCUGGGAAUUUCUUGUAAUUACAAUACUGGAGAUGUACGUGAAGGUCGAAAACGUUCCAAAAAAAAGGUUGUGCAUAGUCAAGAUAAACUCUAGUCAUCGGGUGGUUAUUCUUGAUCAGUUUUUGCUAGACAGGUUCCGGAUGAAAGAGUUUUUCUUGAUUUAAACUUAUCACCGUCGGCGAAUGAGCAUCGAGAAAAUAAUAUUUACCAUGCUUUCCAUAAUUCACAAGAAGAGUGGUAAACUUCACUUUUCAUUUGUGUUAAUUAUGUAUAUUUUUGGCGUAUUAAAUUUGUAUUAACGCUUUUUUAUUUAAUCAGGGAUAUUGGCCGGAUAUGAAUUUUACAAAUGGCCUCAUCACCUAAUUGAAAACGUCCAUCAUGGAAUGUCAUCACAUUACGACUUGUAAGUGAAGUGAUAUAGCCAUAUGGAAAGUAUUUAUUAAUUCAGUAGCUUAUACUUUUGUUGGUUUGUAGUGAAAACAAGAAAGUUAAACCGCCCCUACUCACUCAAUUGUCCGAAAAUGACAUAUUACAUCGGGAUCUAGCAGAUGCACAGAGUGAGGAAGAGAAUAGUGAUUACGAUAACAAUGCCGAUGAAUUGGGAGAUGAGACACCCUUUGCUCGUGAGGAUGGCGAUGAACAUGAUAAGGACGAAGGACCCGAUUUGAAGAGAGACCCCUUUAGACGUAGAGUGUACGAGUCUAAUGAAUAGGACGAGGAGGAAGGACCCGAUUUGAAGAGAGACCCCGCUAGACGAAGAGUGUACGAGUCCUAAGUGCCGUUUCAUUCAAGGGAGAUUCAUUACAUUGAUAACUUUCCAACCAUGGCGGAUAUGGAAGCUCUCAUAAGGGAUUUUGAUGAAAUCUGGACAACAAUGUGGGAUGAGUCUACACCAAUGGUGCUUGCAAAAGGGAUACUUUAUCCUGAUAAAGCGCGCGUAAGCAGGGCUUGUAAAAUGCACAACGUAAAAGGGUAUCGUGAGAUGCAGGUAUUGGAGGCAAGUCGGAUGGUAUACAAGGCUAUUUGCCGCAAGUGGUUUUGGCCAUGUGAUUGGAUGUUGCGUGCGACCAAGAAGAAGACUGGUAUGUGGAAAGUGGGUAAAUACAUUCCCACCCGCACAUGCGGAAUGGGCAUAUUCAACGGGAAUCACUUCAAAUUAGAUAUUGAUUUGAUAUCUCUUGUACUUAUUCCGCACAUCGAAGCGUCCAUAAGGUAUAAAAUCAAAGAGUGCAUUACAGCAGUCCACCAGGAACAUGGCUAUACGAUUAUUGAAAUAAAGCCAUAUCUCGAGCACAAAAGAGCGUUUGAAAUAGUCUAUGGUAAGUGGGAUAAGUCAUUUGCAGAUAUCCCUAGGUAUAUGGCUGCACUACAGUAGUUUAACCCCGGGACGGUUGUUGAAUGGUAGCUUGAGCUGAGUCCGGGUAAACCAGAAUAUAUAUUCAAUUACGUGUUCUGGGCGUUUAACCUAGCAAUUGAUGGUUUUCCUUAUUGCUAGCCUGUAAUAUCCAUAGACGGAACUCAUGUAUAUGGAAAGUACGAUUUCCCCUAGCUUUUGAUAUUUGUUCCAAUAAAAGCACAGAGACGUGGACGAUGUUUUUAAACCACUUGAAAGAGCACGUUGUCAAAUAGCGUUCAGGUAUUUGUCUAAUAUUUAAUCGGCAUUGUGGUAUAUUAAGUUCUGUGGAGAACUUACCUGCAUGGAAAGAACCUUAUGCAUACCAUCGUUACUGUGAGAAGCACUUGAAAGCCAAUUUUUAGAAGGCACAUCCCAAAACAAAUCUAUAUGAUUUGAUGUAGAUGGCAGCAACAGACCACCAACAGCAUAAAUUCCGGAGGCAUAUGGAUUCUAUUAGGCAAGAAGACGAUGCAACCUAUUGUUGGUUAAUGCAACAGGACCCUGAAAAGUGGACGUUGCAUGCAGUUGGUGGCAGACGAUGGGGAAUUCUUACUAUAAACCUGUCAGAGUCCUUCAACAGGUUAUUGAAGUCGGCAAGAGGAUUGCCCGUCACAGCCAUGGUGCGGAUGUCGUUCAAGCACAUGGCGGAGAGGUUUGUUCAACGGUCUGAAGCUACAACGGAAUUGAUAGAAAGGGGUGUUAUAUUUAUGCCAGUUCCUAUGCAGAGAUUUUGAAAAUACAUACGGCGAGCAUAUUGGCAUUCCUUCUUGCAAUAUGAUAAGGAAAGAGGUAAUUUUGAAGUUCGUACCGCUAUCCAUAAUAAUCGGGAUAAUAAUGUUCAUACUGUAAAUGAAUCUACAAGGUUAUGCUCCUGUGAGAAAUAGUCAAUCUACCACAUGCCUUGCUCACAUGCCAUCAAGUGUUUUCGAUAUGUUGGUUAUGCGGAAACCAACUAUAUUGAUCAAAAAUAUAGUGUUUCCAAGUACCUAAACACAUAUAGUGGUCCGUUGCAACCAUUGGGUGCUGAGCAUUAUUGGCCCCAGAACUAUUUAAAAUGGUGUGUAACAAGUCUUAUUUGCAUAAAAGACAUGUGCAGAAAAAAACGCGUAUACAGAACCAAAUGAAUGUUAGCGAUACUGUAUAUGCGUGCAAAUGUGGUAUAUGCUUGAAACCAGGACACGAUCGUAGAAAAUGUCCUUUGGGUGGUAACAGUAAUCAAGCUCGGGGUGGGUGUUCCUCUAUAAUACCUAACUACCCAUGAGUUGAUGUUGUAAUAAUUAGUUGUCACGUAUAUGUUGCAAGAUUUAUGAAAUAAAAAUUCCUUUUUUGUUAAUUAUGACUUGUACUUUCCCAUUUUACCUAUUUAAAUAUAAAUUUAAUAUAAUUAUCUAUAUAUUUAUUAUGUGUGUUUUGUCUUGUCGAACUGAAAAAGUUGACCAGCUGACAUAAAGUUGUCUUGUCAACAUCUUGAUAUUUAAUAUGCAAAAUAUAGCGCCAUUAAAUAUGACGCUAUGUCUAUGUUAUCUUGUCGAACUGAAAAAGCUGACUAGCUGACACAAAGUUGUCCUUUUAAAAAAUAUAGCACCAUUAAAUAUGAAGCUAUGUCUGUUAUCUUGUCUAACUAAAAAAGCUGACCAGCUGACGUAAAGUUGUCUUGUCAAUAUCAUGAUAAUUAAUACGCAAAAUAUAGCUCCAUUACAUAUGAAAGUAUGUGUAUGUUGUCUUGCCUAUAAAUAACGUGCUCAUUGUAGUCAUUUUGUGUGCUCAAAAUUUACUAAAAGGAAAUAUUUCGCUAAAAGAAAGGUUUUUUUUACUAAUAUCAAAUAUUUCACAAAUCGCUCAACCUCUUCGUCCACUAAUGUGCUACUGUGGAAAAACAUGCUUGAUGGAUAGUUGUUGGGAAGGUCGUGAUGUUGGAUGCCGCUACUGGCACUGUAGGAACCAGUUCUACAAGGUUCCCAGCGAACCUAUGUGUGAAUUUGAUGAAUGGGUUGCUGAACCAUGUUAUCAGGAAUGCUACAGAGAACAACUGCAGUCUCUUCAUAAUAUGUGGUUAGGCCAACUGAGAAUACAAAGAGAAAGUGAUAGAACUAUUACAGAAAUGAGGAAGAAACUGAACGAGGUGGGAGAUAAAAAAUGGAGAGCAGAAUGGGAUUGUGAAGCACAUAAGGAACGUAAUGAAAAAUAUAAACGGGAACUUGCGGAGGCGAAGGCGAGAGUGAAAGAGUUAGAUGAAUAAAAGAACAAAUGAAAGAACGAUUUAAGUGGUUGGAGCGGAGAAUAAAUAGCAGCCGGGACUAAAUAUUGGUCUAAAUGUAUUUAGUGUAUUUUUUAUAUUUCAUGUAUUUUUAUUAUACUGGCAUGUUAUGUUGUGUUUGUGUUGUAGUAAUAUUUUUCUUGUUUGUCGUAUUAUGUAUUUUAUUUUAAUUGAACUAGCUUGUGUUGUUAUACGAAACAAUAAAAUGAAUGGAGAACUAAACAAAGUAAUAGAAAUAUUCAAUUAAAUAUUAUAGUUAAUGUAUAUAAAAAUAUUAUUUAAACCAAAUAAAAAAAAAGGAAGGCUGACUCAAUGUGUCUCGCAUGUGGUUUGUUUCAAUUUAGCCGUCGUCCUGAGGCGCAUCCCCUCCUGCCUGGGUACGCUAUCAGGAUCAUCACCAUCAAGUUGUCCCCUUAUAGCCGGAUGCGGCGCAGGAUGACAUGUAUCGGUGGUGCUGUCAGGUCCAGUAAAAGGCUAUAUAAUAAUAUAAAACUUAGUUUAGAAAACUACAUAACAAUUCACAACAAUUUAUAUUAUCUUACAAUAAUCGUGUAUGGAUCCUGAAUGUAGUCAUCUGUCGCAGCAUCGCAUGAAGCGUGAAAAAGGAAAUUAAUAAAAUAAAAUAAAUAAGAUUAACUAUAACUUGGUUGAACUAUCAAAUAACAACACAAACCGAUAGUAUGCGCAACACUAAGUUAAACAAUAACUAAUACGUUUAGAUAGAUAUUGACCUGUGUGUCCUCUAGCAAAUCCAACACAUCCCUGAUGCGGAGGAGAUUAUGAUGGGAAUCAUACUCUAUUAAAUGUCUACGACGCAUAACCUACGUACAAGCUAGAGGGAGAUCCGGAAUUUCUACAUUAGCUGGUAGCUGUGGUAGAGGUGGCAGAAGCUGCAGAAAUCGCUCCCAGACCCAAAACUAACAUUGAAAGUUGAUGUAUAGUGUAAGAUUAACAAUAACUAGGUAUAAUUGUAACUAACGGAUAUAUUAAUUGAAUAUAUUGUCACCUGUAGAAGCAGAAGAAAGCCAAAAACGUCUCUGUGUGUGCCCAUGGAAGCCCGGUACAUCUGCCUGUACAAAAAUGAGAGGACAGCACCACCCUAGUUGUAUCCUCGAACCAGGUAAUAUGAUGCAGAAAACGUAGGCUCACUAGGUUCCUCGAAGUGUUCGGGAACAAGACCCCUCCCCCAAAUAGAACGAGCAACAACAGCCUCGUAUAUCGUUGCACAUAUACCUCUGCUGACUCGUCGUGAUAGUAUCGUGGAUCUGCAUGAGGUGGUCUCUAAUGGGGACUAACUGCAUACGACUGACCCCGGAUGCUACUUCCUAGUCCUCCGGCAUGAAACCAGUGAGCAUGUGCAGCAUAUCCCAAUAUGUCUCACGCGGAUAAUAUCUCUUGGUCGCAAGCACUAAAAUAGGCAAGCCAUCAGUGGACAUGCCAUAUUAAAUCUAUGCGUACUGGAGUGUAAUGGUGGCCUAGACAAUGGGAAGAUGAAAAGUGUGUGUCUCCGGUCCCUACCGCUCAAUCAAAUCCGUGAUCAAAGCAUAGUCGAGCUAUAUCCGGCCAAUCCUAAUAAUCCUAUAAAAUCCCAUCUCCUCCAGGUAAUGGACCACGCAGGGAUGUAGAACGCGGGGAGGACUCAAAAACUCCAUAUUAGAUCUACUCUCCUGGUCCGGAAAGUCUGCGUAAGCAACUGUCCUUCCCAUAUAUACUCGAAUCUAUGUUGGAGCUGUAGAGCUCAUAGAUCCGAGGGUCGGGAUAUAUAGGCAUAUCCAUGUCGUCAACUGUAAAAUCAUAAUUUUUAAUAACUUAAUUGUAUAAAUUAUCAUUAAUAAUUAUGUAUUUAAUAUAAUUUAAAUUCAUAUUUUUUAAUAACUUAAUUGUACAAAUUACUUACGUAUGGGUUCCGGGCUUGAUAUUUUUGAGGCCCAGUGGCACCAAACUAUCAUUAAUAAUUAUAUAUUAUUUAAUAACUUAAUUGUAUAAAAUACUUACAUAUGGGUUCCGAACUCGAUAUGUUUGAGGCCUAGUGGCACCAAACGAUCAUUAAUAAUUAUGUAUUUUUUUAUAUUUGAAAUUCAAAUAUUUUCAAUAACUUAAUUGUACAAAUUACUUACCCAUGGGUUCCGGGCUCGAUAUUUUAAGGCCAGUGGCACCAGACUAUCAUUAAUAAUUAUGUAUUUUUUUAUAAUUGAAAUUCAUAUUUUUCAAUAAAUUAAUUAUACAAAUUACUUACCCAUGGGUUCCGAACUCGAUAUUUUGAGGCCCAGUGGCACCAAACAAUCAUUAAUAAUUAUAUUUUUAUAAUCAAAAUUCAUAUUUUUUGAAUAACUUAAUUAUACAAAAUUACUUAUGUAUGGGUUUCGGGCUCGAUAUUUUUGAGGCCCAGUGACACCAAAUUAUCAUUAAUAAUUAUGUAUUUUUUAAUUAUUGAAAUUCAUAUAUUUUUAAUAACUUAAUUGUAUAAAUUAUUUACGUAUGGGUCCCGGGCUUGAUAUUUUUUAUGCCCAGUGCCACCAAGCUAUCAUUAAUUAUUAUGUAUUUUUUUUAUAAUUGAAGUUCAUAUUUUUUUAAUAACUUAAUUGUAUAAAUUACUUACGUAUGGGUUCCAGACUUGAUAUUUUGAGGAUCGAAAUACCAGUAUAACAUACUUAAACAAAAGAAAUUCUAAGCUAAAAGACUACACAUUACCACACUACAAGGCUCUAAGUUUUCUACGCUAAAAGGGUCUACGUUUUACUAUGCUAAAAAGGUCUAUAUUUUACCACGCUAAAAAAUAAUCUAAACUAAACAUUCACAACAAAUAAAUUUAAUUGCAAAUAAAAUACAAAAUGGCAUGAAAACACAUAUGUAUAAAUGAGAAUAUUAACAGAUAAAUUUAUUUGACAGAUUUAUAUUUUUAUAAACAACACUAAAAUUAAAUCCGGAUAAAUUUAACAUGCUAGUUUCGAAAAGAAAAAAAUACAAACUGAAAUAGAACACAUACAAAUCAAAUAAUUUGCAUUAUUAUAAAAGUUUCAAUUUAAAAUAAAUCGAAAUACCUUGAUUUAAAACUUUCGAAAAGCAAAUAAAUCGAAGUUUUGACUCCAAAAGUGUGAAUCAACAAUAACACGAAGCUCUACUCGAAUGUACGACCUACGUUCUUCAAGUUUUAUGUGCCGGGGGACCCAAUUUUUUUUAAAAACGGACAGUACUCGACAGAAUGGAGGGACCAAAAAGAGAGGAGUAAAAUAAUAGUGGUGAAGAAGACGGAUGGUCUUUUUUUAAUGAGGGGUAUAACGUCAGAUUUUAUGGUGUUAUAUCAAUUGUGUCAACUUUUUCUGAUAUAACGCCAUAAAAUCUAGCGCUAUAUAUUAAUGAUGCAAUUCCCGUAAUAAAUAGUGUCAGAUAUUAUUGCGUUAUAUAUAAUAUGGUAAUUUUUUUAACACCUAUUUGUGUAUUUUAAGUCAAAAAAACACAUUUUAAUUUCGGGCUCUUAGAUUUAGGGAUAUAACCAAUACUAGUAUAAACCCAAUACGAGCGAUAUGUCGUGGCUUGACAGUUAUCGCUUUUGUCUCUUUCGAACCUUACCUCAAAUAUUGACCGCCAAACACCACUAAAUUUUUGUCCUUUUCCUCGGACAGUUGGCUAUCUCUUAACUACUGUUCUAUGCCCUAUGGUCCCUCCCCAAACUUAGCUGUAGUUUGCUGUAAUCAGAUUCGCUCCUAAUCUACUCUUUUCAUUAAACAACGUGUUCUUGAUAGCUGUACUUACUGUGUUUUGCUUCCCCAUAAUCCCUAUAUAUAACUAGGCUGUGCAUUCGAAUCGGUUUAUCGAUAAAUCGAAUCGAUUAUUUGUUAUCGGUUUAUCGGUUUANNNNNNNNNNNNNNNNNNAAUCGGUUUAUCGAUAAAUCGAAUCGAUUAUUUGUUAUCGGUUUAUUGAUAUCGGUUUAUCGAUUCGAUUUCGAUUUCGAAAACUUCCUUAUCGGUUUAUCGAUUCGAUUUCGAUUUUGGCAAUUCGGUUUAUCGAUUUAUCGAUAAAUCGAUAAGAUAUAUUAAAAAGACAAAUAUCCCUUCUUUUAUAAUAGUAUUACUACCCUAUCCCCUUGACCCAUCACCCAAGACCAACCCCUCCAAAUCUGACCACACGCCCCCCCUCUUCCCUUCCUUUUUUUGUUUCAUUUCAUUAUACUAUACAUAAACAAAACCCUAAUCCUCUCAAAACCUAUACCUAGCCGCCACCCUCACGCUACUCUUCUUCUUCUCCGACCAAAUGACACCCUCAUGCCGGAGACAACCACCCCCAAAAAGAAUCAGGUAUCAAGUAUGACCAUGUCCGUGCUCUGUUCCUAUGGCUUUUGAAUUCCUUAGAAUUGAAAAACCUAAGUCUUCAUUUUUUUUCAGCCAUCAACACACCCAAAAGGACCACCCUAAAUCGCUAGAAUCUAGAGCAAAAUGCAACGACCACUCCACCCCUUCAAAACUCAUAAAUAACCCUAACCCUUAACCCCCGAUUUCCUAAUUCACUGCCGCCGAUCUCAUUCGAGAAAGCUCAAGAGGAGGUCGCUAAGGUUUCUGCUUUUGUUUUGGUUUCGAGAUCUCACCGGAGACGUCAACUUUGAGUUUGCUGCUUGCGGUACUGUCCGAAGCACCGUCGAGUGCUUCCGUUGAGGUUCUAUUUGAGAUCGUUAAUCUCUAUUCCCGGUUUAAGGUCUGAGUUUCGAUUCUUUCAUUUACAUCUUCUGUUUUUGUUUAUUACGAUGCUCUGUUAAUGACGUCCUCGCUAUUGUUAAUUGCUAUCUCCCUUCAAUUUCAUAACAUGGUUUGGAUAGCAUGAAUUUGGAGUCACACGACGUGGGUUCUGUCAUUUUCUUUUGGAUUAAGAAGUUGGGUUGGUUUCAUUUGUGGUUUGUGAUUAUUUUCGUUGUUUUGCUGUUGUUAGCUGAUCUUGUGCAGAGGUUCUGUACUAAUUCAAGAGUAAGAAAGGAAUUGUUGCUAUUAAAAAAUCACACUCUAACUUUACUUAUCUUUCUAAUUGCCAGAUUUGGUGUCAUGGCUCUUUGAAUUUUUGUUUGAUUUUACUUGUUCCGGUUUUACUACUUAGGUGACAGUAGUAGUUUGGGGUUUCAUGAAUACUUAAGGGAGGUAGGUACGGAGAAUUGACAUUUUUAUUUGAUCGUUGCCAAAGGGUCGAUUGUAAGAGGUUUUGUUUCAUGUCUUUUGUAACAGAGCUAUCGCAUUUCUCUGGCAAAUGGAUGUGGAUUUUGAGAAGUUUUUGACUUGGAUUCAGACAUUGACAAUGCAUUUGAGAAUAAGUAUAGACCAAAGGAAGAACUUCCAGCGAAG
rnacentral:lncRNA from 1 species